rnacentral:lncRNA from 1 species
AGAGAGAGAGAGAGAGAGAGAGAGAGAGAGAGAGAGAGAGAGAGAGAAAUCAAGGGAGAGGAGCUGAAACAAUGAAGCAGAGGUAAACGAUCGCUGAUUUUCCAGGAGAUGGAGAGAGGGGAAGAGAGUGAAGGAAGAGAAAACACAAACAAAAGAGAACCGUUGGACGAGACGAAGGAAUUUGGUAUUAAUUUAAAAUCAAAACCCAAUAUCUGACCGUUGAAGCGAGGCUUUAUUGGAAAAUGAC